AUAACCUAUAUAUUCAUCAUUUUGGUAAGAAAGGUUGACAGUUCAUGAUAUAACUUAACUACCAUCAACAAUCACUGAUAUAGACCUGUGCAGUGAGACUAGGCAAAGCAUUUAAUAGAUUAGAAAUAGUAGUAAUGUAGAGUAGUUAUGAUGGAGCACUCAGUGCUCCUAUGUAAACAUCAAGUUUUUUGCAAUGAAGCACUUAGUACUGUUUCAAACAAGUAUGAUGUAUUGACAUAAUUUUUGUGUGAAAAAUAGUCACACUGUAUGUUAGAGUUGGCAUGAGUAGUUAAUCCAUCUAAGAGUUUUACCAGCUGUGAGAAACGCAAGUAUGAGAAAAAACUGGUCAGC
rnacentral:lncRNA from 1 species